rnacentral:rRNA from 1 species
CCUACGGGAUGCAGCAGUGAGGAAUAUUGGUCAAUGGACGAGAGUCUGAACCAGCCAAGUAGCGUGAAGGAUGACUGCCCUAUGGGUUGUAAACUUCUUUUAUAUGGGAAUAAAACGUUCCACGUGUGGGAUUUUGUAUGUACCAUAUGAAUAAGGAUCGGCUAACUCCGUGCCAGCAGCCGCGGUAAUACUGAGGAUACGCGCGUUAUCCGGAUUUAUUGGGGUUAAAGGGAGCGUAGGUGGCUUGUUAAGUCAGUUGUGAAAGUUUGCGGCUCAACCGUAAAAUUGCAGUUGAAACUGGCAGUCUUGAGUACAGGAGAGGUGGGCGGAAUUCGUGGUGUAGCGGUGAAAUGCUUAGAUAUCACGAAGAACUCCGAUUGCGAAGGCAGUUCACUGGACUGCAACUGACACUGAGGCUCGAAAGUGUGGGUAUCAAACAGGAUUAGAUACCCUGGUAGUC